GCUCAGAUUGAACGCUGGCGGCAUGCCUUACACAUGCAAGUCGAACGGCAGCACGGGUGCUUGCACCUGGUGGCGAGUGGCGAACGGGUGAGUAAUACAUCGGAACAUGUCCUGUAGUGGGGGAUAGCCCGGCGAAAGCCGGAUUAAUACCGCAUACGAUCUACGGAUGAAAGCGGGGGACCUUCGGGCCUCGCGCUAUAGGGUUGGCCGAUGGCUGAUUAGCUAGUUGGUGGGGUAAAGGCCUACCAAGGCGACGAUCAGUAGCUGGUCUGAGAGGACGACCAGCCACACUGGGACUGAGACACGGCCCAGACUCCUACGGGAGGCAGCAGAAGGG
rnacentral:rRNA from 1 species